ensembl:lncRNA
CACACAUACAGACUGUCAGUAGAGGAACACCGCUCUCAAUCGACUGUGCCCUCUUCUGCCAAACAAAACAGGAGCGGCGCCGUGGGACCUACAGAAACCUCAGAGGAAAGAGCUAUUGAGAAAACUCUAGGAGGCCCAUAGACUCCAUGACAACCAAUAACGUCUGUUUCUGAACACAUUUUGAGCAUGGGGAGGAAAGGAGGGACAGUUCUGCUUCUCAUGUUUUGUGCAGUCCUGGUGACAGCUGCAAAUAUGAAGACUGACUCCAAAAUCAGAGCAUGUGCUAGACAACUGAUGAAAAAAUGUAAACAAGAGGGAUACAAAACACCGGACACAGAGCAGCUGGCUACUGUAUUGGGCAGUGAUGUCCCUGCAGUGGAGAAGAACUCUGACAACUCCCCCAUCUCCCUCCUGUCUGUGUUUAACAGUGUCCUGGGAUCUGUUUCCCCUGGAUACACUCGCUCCAGUAUCUUUCUGGGGAAAAGUCACUCUAAACUCAGUGACAUUAGCUUACCAGGAAUGAUACAGAAGAUGUCAAAUGUCUCGGAGUCUGCAGCUUGCUUCCUGAACGCAGUCGUGGCUCCGCUGGCUUGGAACGCGGUGACACAAAUGGAGGCCGAUAUGGAGCCGCAGGAGAAGUAUGAAACCCUGCUGUCGGCCGCCAAAACUGCAAUAGAAAUGUGUCCAGGAAAACUAAACUUCCCUCAACCCAUCAUGAGAAACCACCUGGUCAGCCUGCUGAGAAUGCUGGCUGAGGUGUACCCAAUGACCUCUGAGGAUCAGAGGAAUGAGGUGAUAAAGUGGGCCGUUGACCAAAUCAAAGAAAAAUUCUUCAACUGUAGCAGCAGCAAAGCAUCUUCAGGUUUAGUCCGGUGCAAGGAGUCGUUAGAAUGGCUGACAACUGAAAUCCUCAACUUGCUCGGCCCGUAUCUCUCCGAAGUAACACCAAGAGAUAUUGACCUCGCUCCAGAACAACAGUUCUGUAAGUUCUUCAUGUCGUCCGAGUUCAAACCUGUGAUGGCCAAAAUUGUCACAAUUAAGCCCAGUCUGGCCAAAAGUCUUCUCCAGAAAAUCAAAGGCUGUUUGAGCAACGAUAAAGAAUUUGUGAACUAUUUGGACAGGUUAGGCCCGCUGGCAUGUUAUUAUGAGCCCACUUCCCAGCUGGCAUCCAAUGAAAGCGUCACACUUUUAUCUGCACUUUCUAAUUGUGCCAACCCUGGUCUGACAACGCUGAAGAAGAAACUGGCAGGCAGCAUAAACCUCAAGGGGCAGAAUGCUCUUCAGAUCUUUCAUCAGCUGGGCAGUGGAGCCAAGAUUCUGGGGGACAAAAUAAAAACAUUAAAUAAGGAGGAGCUGAAGAGCCUGGUCAACGACUCCAGCAUCCAAUUGUCAACUAAACAGAAGCGUAUGGUCGUCUCAACAUACAUGAGGAACGAUACGUGCAAAGAGCUUUCGAAAGAGGAGCUUAAAGUCCUCUCAAGAGUUGCGGACGCACUGCCAAAAUGUAUUUACAAAAAGGUCAAAUCUCAAGAUCUUAGAGACCCUGAAGUGUUGGAAAAGUUUGCCAAGGGAGUCAGAAAGUCCCAGGCUGUAGCCAUAUUUACAAAAUUAGGUACGAUGGAUGUCACAGAGAUGAUUAACUUGCCCGAUAAUGUGCGUCUAGUAGCUUCUUUACGUCUGUUGGAAAACUAUGCCAACGUGUCCUGGAGUCAAGUCACCUCGAAAAGAUGGCGCAGAGCACAGGCCAUAUUCCUUGUCGAGAAAAUGAUACAACGAUUCAGUAAUUGGUUCAGAAAUGUGGGGUGCGUCCUUCUGGGCGUCACUUGUGGACAGAUUGAGGCCGUUGCAAAUUCUGAAGUUCUGGCAAUGGCUCAGAGCUUUGCAGACACUCCUCAGUGCCUUUCCAAAGCGCAGGUCAUAUGUGUUUCACAGAAGCUUUUCGCGACAUUUGAAUCACAAAGACCAGAGUAUUUCAAAACCAUAACUAUGGAAGAGCUGAGUAACAUCCCUGCAAUCUUUCUUAUUCAGUUAUUGUAAGAAACACACCCU